AUUGAACGCUGGCGGCAGGCCUAACACAUGCAGGUCGAGCGGAUGAAGGGAGCUUGCUCCUGGAUUCCGCGGCGGACGGGUGAGUAAUGCCUAUGAAUCUGCCUGGUAGUGGGGGAUAACGUCCGGAAACGGGCGCUACUACCGCAUACGUCCUGAGGGAGCAAGUGGGGGAUCUUCGGACCUCUCGCUCUCAGAUGAGCCUAGGUCGGAUUAGCUAGUUGGUGGGGUAAAGGCCUACCAAGGCGACGAUCCGUAACUGGUCUGCGAGGAUGAUCAGUCACACUGGAACGGGGACACGGACCAGACGACUGCGGGAGGGAGCAGUGGGGAAUAUGGGGCAAUAGGCGAGAGCAUGGUCCAGCCAGGCCGAGUGUGAGAAGGAAGUCUUCGGAGUGGAAAGCACGUUAAGUGGGGAGAAAGGGCAGUAAGUUAAUACCUUGCUGUAGUGACGGUAACAAGAGAAGAAGCACCGGCUAACUACGUG
rnacentral:rRNA from 1 species